rnacentral:rRNA from 1 species
AAAUGAAUAGACGGGGGCCCGCACAAGCGGCGGAGCAUGUUGCUUAAUUCGAUGCAACGCGAAGAACCUUACCAGGGCUUGACAUGCUGGGAAAUCCCGCAGAGAUGCGGGGUGCCUUCGGGCGUCCAGCACAGGUGGUGCAUGGCUGUCGUCAGCUCGUGUCGUGAGAUGUUGGGUUAAGUCCCGCAACGAGCGCAACCCCCACCCUAUGUUGCCAGCGGGUUAUGCCGGGCACUCAUGGGGAACUGCCGGGGUCAACCCGGAGGAAGGCGGGGACGACGUCAAGUCAUCAUGCCCCUUAUGCCCUGGGCUGCAAACAUGCUACAAUGGCCGGUACAAUGGGCUGCGAUCCCGUGAGGGUGAGCGAAUCCCCAAAGCCGGUCCCAGUUCGGAUCGGGGUCUGCAACUCGACCCCGUGAAGUCGGAGUCGCUAGUAAUCGCGGAUCAGCAAUGCCGCGGUGAAUACGUUCCCGGGCUUUGUACACACCGCCCGU